CAGUAGCCGCGGUAAAACAGAGGGUGCGAGCGUUAAUCGGAUUUACUGGGCGUAAAGCGUGCGUAGGCGGCUUUUUAAGUCGGAUGUGAAAUCCCUGAGCUUAACUUAGGAAUUGCAUUCGAUACUGGGAAGCUAGAGUAUGGGAGAGGAUGGUAGAAUUCCAGGUGUAGCGGUGAAAUGCGUAGAGAUCUGGAGGAAUACCGAUGGCGAAGGCAGCCAUCUGGCCUAAUACUGACGCUGAGGUACGAAAGCAUGGGGAGCAAACAGGAUUAGAUACCCCCGUAGUCCCUGUCUCUUAUCC
rnacentral:rRNA from 1 species